GACUGUUUUGAAAAAGGGGUUAAAAUUGAGAGAACCACGAAAGUAAAUAUACCAAAGUUUUAAAAAAUGCCCUAUUCCCCCCACCUAUAGGAAACUCAAGAAAACCGCUUCUCCCCCACUUGUUUUUUUCUGUCCCUUGAUAUUCCCAAACAUCAUACAUCUAUUUUGAUUUCCAUUACUUCCACCCUUUGGGUUUCCA
rnacentral:lncRNA from 1 species